AUUGAACGCUGGCGGCAGGCCUAACACAUGCAAGUCGAGCGGAGCGGCGGACGGGUGAGUAAUGCCUAGGAAUCUGCCUGGUAGUGGUGGAUAACGUCCGGAAACGGGCGCUAAUACCGCAUACUAUCAGAUGAGCCUAGGUCGGAUUAGCUAGUUGGUGGGGUAAAGGCCUACCAAGUCGACGAUCCGUAGCUGGUCUGAGUGGAUGAUCAGUCACACUGGAACUUAGACACGGUCCAGACUCCUACGGUAGGCAGCAGUGGGGAAUCUUGGUCAAUGGGCGAAAGCCUUAUCCAGCCAUGCCGCGUGUGUGAAGAAGGUCUUCGGAUUGUAAAGCACUUUUGGUUAGGAUGCGUUACCAACAGAAUAAGCACCGGCUAACUUCGUGCCAGCCGCCGCGGUAAUUC
rnacentral:rRNA from 1 species